AGCUUCCUUAAUAAUUGUUUUCCAGCUAUUUAAGUUGGUCUAAUAAAAGAUAUUGGAUUCACCCAAAGAACCUUGUCAUUUUCCAAGUGAAAUGGGAAAUCCAGUGCUUUUCCCCAAAAUAGUGGCAUUCUCCUGAGUGUCCUAGCAGCAUUCCAGUACAUGUCAUUGUGUUCUGCCUCCCUGAAUGCCCUACACUUUGCAUUGAAGAGAGGAUUAGUCACUUCCUGUUCCAGUCAGCUGUGCUGUCAAAUUUAUUCACAACUGCUGGCCUGUAACACUGCACCUCAGCUUGGUGGACAAAACAAUCCUUCUCUGUAGUUUGCACUUUGAGAUCCUUCAGGAGGAAGAAGCCCAACAUAAACGUAAAGGUAUUAUCAGUACAACAAAUCCCUAAUUUUUAAUUUUCUCUUUUAUUCUUUCCAGAUCUUGCUUGCGUCUGCUACUUUCAGUUUUUCUAUUUCUUCCUCUUUCAGGCUACACAACUUCUUGUCAGCUGGGAAUGGCAGAAGUAAACUUCUGCUUCAAAUCUUUCCCCUCACUCUUGAAAGAGAACCUUAUUAUUUAUGCACCAGGAAACCCAGCCAAGAUCAGGGGCCAGUUGUGCUGAGCACUGUACAAACACACAGUAUGGGCCAGUCCCUGUUCCAACUGUCAUACAAUCUGAAGAAUUCAAACCACAAAGACUAAUGCACGCUUACAUCAGACAGAUCCUGAAUGUAUGCAGUCAAGGUUGGAUGAUGGUUGACUUCACUGAAAUCAGUGGAAUUCUUGUACAUGAGUAUCUGCAGGAUUGCUAAAUUAACAAUUUGAGUUGGGGCUGGAUCAUGAACUUUUUAUCACCCAGUGCACCAGUGAGCCAUAUUCAAAGACCUCACAGGAAGUGACAUCACAUCAGGAAGUGAUGUCACAUGACCUUUGACACCAACGAAGUUGCAGGAAGUGACAAUGAAAUGGGUCUGCUCCGCAGGCAUUUCUUAUGUUUUUAAUUUUACUCUAUCUUCUUUCACUGUGCCUGAAAUAUGCAGAACUCUUUCAUUCUCUGGCUGCAGAAGACACAGGUGAUUGAGGCACAUCAGGUGAAAAAAGUCUGUGCACCGCAGUACAGUCCUGUUUCACUAGUACUAUUUCAGUUUGUACCCCUGGAGUAAAUCUCCAAGGCAAGAAACAUGUUGGCUGUUUGGCACAGCUCUCCAGUGCUGCAAAAAUAUGUAUACCAAGGCAACAGACAAACUAUAUGUACUA